UGACUCCACUGUAGUUAGACGUCCACCCAAACAUUCUCUGAAAUUGCUCCUGAUAAGGAUACUAAUCAUUUUCUAAUUGCCUUGGCCAAAAAAUACAUCCCAGGUCUUAUUUCAUUUUGUUUGUUGGCGACAUUUAGCCCUUUCUUCUUUGACCUUCCCAGGAUUUCCAGAGCACCCUUCCCUUCUUUCCUGACUCCUUUGCUUGGUAUCCUGAUUCCUUUCCUACCAUUCUAAGCCCUCUUCUUUUCAUUAUAAUAUGAUCUUCUUGUAUGACCUCCACUAUAUCCAUAGGUUCAUGUUUCAACUUUUAACUUAUUUCUUCAAAAUCUCUAACCUGUCUCGAGCCGUAGAUGUUACCUGUGUACUACUGGACAUCUCUCAGAAACCUGGGUGUGUCCCUCCGCAGUUCUUUUAACUAAAUGAUCAACAGUCCUGUUACUUCUAUCACUUUUGUGUUCCUCCUGUCCAUACUCUGUCACCUCUAUCAUGUCUCAUGUCUCUCCUAAACAAUUAAUUUUCCUACCUACAGUUCUGAUCCAUGCCAACCUAUUGCCUACUCUGAAGUUCAGGUCCCUCUGGCUGCAACAUGGAGUAUAUUGUAGGAGGGUACCAUUGCCUGCAGUGAGGCGUUAAGGACGCAGCAUGGAUGAGAGAUGAGGAAAGCUGAAAUGAAACAGAGGCAGGAGAAAUGGAGAGGAGGACAUGGCCUUGAGGAAUUUCCAGGACAUAAAUUUGGCAUCACUUCUUGGACCAUGAGAGGAAGAGGGAGCAGGAAGAAUCAAAGAUGAAUCCAAGAAUGAACAAAUCUAAUUUUUGAAAUAAUGCAAUGAAAAGUAGAACUGGUCUGUUUUCCUAGGAGAGGAUGGUGAAAUAGAGGUAGUUUGUGUGAUUUGCCCAGAGUCCCAUGAAGAAUUCACAGAAGAAUUGAGACUACAGUCAGUAUGGCCACAUUCCCAGAGAACUGCUUUUUCUGCCAUACCCUGUGGUAAUAAUAUUGUCACAAGACAAUUGGACAGUGUUUCACAUAUUCAGUGAUGGAAGAAGAGUUUAAUUGAAAUAAAUAAAUGUCAGGAAAAAUUAAUUCGAUUGUGAUAACACUUAAGGAAUGGAGUGUUCACUCUCUAGGAGAAGUUGGGCUAAAUGAUGAAAUGGAGUGUCCGUGUAUGUGAUCUGUGGUGCUGUUUUGCUGUAGUUAAUUCCUAUUUUUAACUUGAAAUGUGUUCUGACUGCGUUAGUGCCAAUUUUUUUGAGACCGGUGUACCUAUCCUAUCAGGUACAUUCGAUUUACACAAGUACAUUCUCUUUUCAGUUCUCCCACCACUUCUCUUUAUUCAAACAAUUAAA
rnacentral:lncRNA from 1 species